AAUAGAUACCCGGGUAGUCCACGCCCUAAACGAUGUCAACUAGCUGUUGGGGCCUUCGGGCCUUGGUAGCGCAGCUAACGCGUGAAGUUGACCGCCUGGGGAGUACGGUCGCAAGAUUAAAACUCAAAGGAAUUGACGGGGACCCGCACAAGCGGUGGAUGAUGUGGAUUAAUUCGAUGCAACGCGAAAAACCUUACCUACCCUUGACAUGUCUGGAAUGCCGAAGAGAUUUGGCAGUGCUCGCAAGAGAACCGGAACACAGGUGCUGCAUGGCUGUCGUCAGCUCGUGUCGUGAGAUGUUGGGUUAAGUCCCGCAACGAGCGCAACCCUUGUCAUUAGUUGCUACGAAAGGGCACUCUAAUGAGACUGCCGGUGACAAACCGGAGGAAGGUGGGGAUGACGUCAAGUCCUCAUGGCCCUUAUGGGUAGGGCUUCACACGUCAUACAAUGGUCGAGACAGAGGGUCGCCAACCCGCGAGGGGAGCCAAUCCCAGAAACCCGAUCGUAGUCCGGAUCGCAGUCUGCAACUCGACG
rnacentral:rRNA from 1 species